CGAUGCAACGCGAAGAACCUUACCUGGGCUUGACAUCCCAAGAAUCCCCUGGAAACAGGGGAGUGCCCUUCGGGAGCUUGGAGACAGGUGCUGCAUGGCUGUCGUCAGCUCGUGUCGUGAGAUGUUGGGUUAAGUCCCGCAACGAGCGCAACCCUUGCCUUUAGUUGCCAUCAUUCAGUUGGGCACUCUAGAGGGACUGCCGGUGUCAAACCGGAGGAAGGUGGGGAUGACGUCAAGUCCUCAUGGCCUUUAUGCCCAGGGCUACACACGUGCUACAAUGGGCGGUACAAAGAGCAGCGAGCUCGCGAGAGUAAGCAAAUCUCAAAAAGCCGUCCUCAGUUCGGAUUGGAGUCUGCAACUCGACUCCAUGAAGUUGGAAUCGCUAGUAAUCGCGGAUCAGCAUGCCGCGGUGAAUGCGUUCCCGGGCCUU
rnacentral:rRNA from 1 species